UUGCGUAUCUACGGGGUUUUGCCACUGGCUGAUACGGUUACAGCUGUAUAUUACUACACACGUGCUUUGGCUACACACUCCCAAAAGAAAAGCGUUUCUCUCCGGUUAACUUUACCAACUGUUGAGCUCAUCCACCGUUAAUAUCACCGACGUGUCGGCUGAUUAAAACACUCUCCCAAUUACAGUACAAUUUCUAAUCUCAUUUCAAAUUUCAAAUUUGUAAUGAAUGGAUUAGUUUACACAAACUAAUUGGCGCUUCUCCCAUUGCUUUCUCCGAAAUGGAAAGAAAACUCAUGCUGGGUAAAGAUGUGGUGGAUUCAGGUGUUCGACCACGAUUGACUCGCAAUGUUUUUAACCACGAUUUGUCCAUGAUGAAGGAGGACAAACAACCAAGGCUUCCAUAUACCAUUGAUGAUUUGUUAUCUGAGGAAGACGGACGUGAUGCAGAAUGAUAAUCCCAGACAAGUGUAUGGCCCUGUUGUUACUGUAUGGACUUUGCCUGGGAAGUAUUUGGCGAAAUGUCCAGGAGAAGAGAAGCUGAUAAAUUUGUCAAUUUUUAGGUAUUUUUUAACUGUGUUGUAUAAACAAAUUUUUAGGAAUUUCUCAAGAUUCGAAUGCACUAAUUUGGCAAGGAAAGACAGGUAUUUUCAUUGUUUGGUGUGAUCUUGGUAGAUAAAAUGGAGUCUUGAAAUUAGUGUAUUUUCUUGAUUUUUGUAUUUUCUUGAAUUUAGUGUAUGUCUUUGUAGAUAUAAUGAUCUGUAGUCAUUUAGUAUUUGCUAAUAAGAUAUAUAGUGAAGAGAUUAGUUUUGACCUCUCUUUUGAGACUAAUGGAAGUGAUGUGAUUGAGAAGGUACGUCCAAGUCUGACACUAUUAUCAAUCUGAACUUCAGCUCCUCAUUUUCUUCUACAUCUUUCACUGUAAUCACUCGGUUGGAGUGGCUCAAAUGUUUCUAACAAAAUAAUUUGAUCAUAUAUAUUUGUUUCCAUCCAGACAUGUCAAUUUAAAAUAUCUCUGUUUUGAAUGCAGAAAAUCAUGAUAUGUUUGUAAAUCAUGGCAAUUUGUAUGAGAUUGAGUGAUAACAGUCUGACCCAAAUGUGUGAUACCAUGUCAAAGUAUUUAGUCAUUUGAUAUCCUACAUUCGUAUAUAUAUCUAAAGAUAUUUUCUAAUACUACAAUUUCAAAGUUAUUGCACUUAUUAAGCUCCUAGAUCAGAGUUGGUUGGUUGUCUAUAGUUGUAUAAAAUAGUCUCUACUGGCCUAUUAAUGUUGUAUGGGCAACUUGCAUUUCUGAAAUAAAAAAUAAAAAGAAUAAUAAUAUGUACGGCAACACGUAUGACAUAGAGGCAUGCAUAAUUGUUUAUUGAAAAUCCAAUUUCCAACUUCAUUUAAUUAUAUUUCAUUUUACAUUGUUUUCUUGCCAUAUUUCGUGUUUAUAUUAAGUGUUUUUAUUUUAGUAUUAUCAUAAUUUAUCAAGUGUUUGAUAGUUAUGAAUUGUGAUAAUUAUGUAUUCACUAACAAGAAUGGCUACUAUAAUUAUUUCUGCAUUAUGUCAGGAGAAAAAACUCAUGAUUUCGUCCGGGAUGAAGAUGAGCGUCCCAAAGUUGCCUAUAAAUUUCAGUUAAUUCUUUAGUUGGUAUCUAUGAUGAUUUUGUUGACAGGAGGUCUGUGGUAUGUCAUAAAAUAGUGGAGGAGUUUGAGUGCCAGAGAAUUUUUCAGGCAGUUGAUCACGGUAUUGACAGCACUUUGAUUUUUGAAAUUCAUCACUUCUCUUCACUUCUAAUUGUUUACUGAUUUUGACUCAUGUGAAACAUAGACGGAAAUGCAAAAUUUUACAGAAAUGAUUGUCAGCAUGAUGAAUUAAUUAUUGUGGUAAAGAAUGUUAAGUUCCAUAUAUAUUACUUGGUAAGCUGUUUGGAUUCACUUGACAUUGUAACUGUGUCAAAAAUUGCAGCUGGAUCUCAGGUUAAACCGCCUCGGUUUGCCUCCUCCAAGCGAAGUAUUAAUCAGGUUAAGAAAUCCAGUCAUGCUUAUCAAGUUACAAAUCUGUUGCUGGAGAACAGAGGUACACAGAUUGUUGAAGAUUUUGUCAAGGCCGAUGAAUUGUGCACGAGGAGGGAAUAUGCAUGAUGGUUAGCACGGACAAACUUGCUACUAGAGAGGAAAAAUAAGCAUACGGUGUUCCAUCUAUUGCACUUUCCGGAUCUACAUUAUCUGCAUUGGACGACGUGAGUGUUGAAGACCCUGAUUUUCUAUGCAUACAAUCUCUUGCUGAGGCUGACAUUGUUUCAAGUAAGAUGUCUGUGGAUAAUUCCAGUUGGCAAAAAGGUGUAAGAUUUUGCCCAGAUAGAUUUAUAUCUCGCCAGGAUCUCAUAAGUUGGAAAGCCAAGCUAGAUUAUGAAGUCAUGCCAGGAUUAAGGGAAGAGUCCAGAUAUCAAGAAAGAGCUUGGAUUUUAUGGAUGUAAGGGAGAUCAAUUCAGAUGCAAUAGUUGUACUUUUCAAGGACUUGCUUGUUGGUGACAAGAGCAUAUACAGAACAGUUUUUGGUCUCUCUCUUUGUUUCUGUGUCCCGGAAAAUGAUCUCCACGAUUCCAAGAAGAGGGCAGCUUCACAUGAAGUAGAAUGCUCUUCUGAUAACUCAACUCCUCAGGCUUCUGAAAGCGGAAGCAAAAAGAAAAAUGUAUCGUAAAUUAAUGCAAAUGGUGUAGCUGUGACUAUGCAUACCCAGCUUCUGUUCUUGAUUUAACCGAAAGUGAUGCUAAACAACCCACAGAUCAAACUUUGGCUCCUAUUUUUGACUUGAACCAGAGAUUGGUAAGUUAUCAGGUAGCAGAAGAGGAAUACCAGGAUAGUUGUGAGAUGGCAAGGCAAGACAAGCUAUCUGAGUUGAAGUUAUCUCUUUGUAGAAACGUAGGACACGGUUCCAAUCGUGCGGUAAAGAGAAAGAUCUCAUGGCAAGAUCCGGUUGCUUUGAGGGUGGGAUUAGCUAUAAUUAAUAUUUUUUAGUCAGUUAAUGUAGAAAGAGAGUAGGCCUAUGAAAGAUUGAACUAUAUAAGAUAUAUCUUAACAGUUGUGUUAUGUCUUUGUUAAAACAGGUUGUACUGUUAUGUUGGUUUUGUUAAUGUACAAGUGUUGUUUAGAUAUGUUACUAUUAGUAACACACAGGAAGACUAUCUGAUGAAUUAUUAAAGUUAAUGCAGACUGAAAUACAAGAAUUUUGUUCUCUCA